CGCUCCCGGCGUCGUAGAGCUGAUCUUAAGCACACAAAAACAGCAAAAGAAAGGGAUCCUCUGGAACUGCAGCCUACAUAUUCUGUCAUUUUUUGUUACCCUAGAAUCGGUGCAGGUACACAAAAACGAUGCGCCGGGUUUCUGUCUUGCUCUCCGCAGCAUACCCACAGGAGUGGAUUGCUGCGGCAAAAAAGGAGUUAAAGAACCGCGACCCAUCGACCUUGACCAUUCAUUCUAUCAACGGAUUCGACAUCAAGCCGCUUUACGUCGCCGAUGAUGUCGAGAGUCACCCGGCGCUGCCUGGAUUCUUCCCAUACACCCGUGGCGUCCACUCGACGAUGUAUACUGGCCGUCCGUGGACUAUUCGGCAAUACGCUGGCUUCUCCACUGCUGAGGAGUCCAACAAUUUCUACAAGACCGCCCUAAAGAAUGGACAGCAAGGUCUCUCCGUCGCGUUUGAUCUGGCGACGCACCGCGGCUACGACUCUGACCAUCCGCGCGUGACUGGUGAUGUGGGUAUGGCUGGUGUUGCGGUGGAUUCAGUUGAGGACAUGAAGCUACUCUUCAACGAUAUUCCUCUGGACAAGGUGAGUGUUUCCAUGACUAUGAAUGGUGCUGUCAUCCCUGUUCUCGCCUUUUUCGCGGUAGCGGCGGAGGAGAGCGGUGUCCCGCAAGAAAAGCUACGGGGAACCAUUCAGAACGACAUAUUGAAGGAGUUCAUGGUGCGGAACACGUACAUUUUCCCUCCAACUCCUUCAAUGCGCAUCCUUGGUGAUGUUAUGGCCUACCUGAGCAAGCGUCAGCCUAUGUUCAAUAGUAUCAGUAUCAGUGGCUAUCACAUCCAAGAGGCAGGUGGUCACGGUGCCUUAGAGCUAGCAUUCACCAUUGCCGACGGCCUUGAAUACAUCCGCUGCGCCGAGCAGCGCGGUUUGACGGUGGACGAUGUGGCGCCGCGCUUUUCCUUCUUCUUUGGCAUUGGCAUGAACUUCUACUGCGAGAUUGCGAAACUUCGGGCUGCCAGGAUGCUGUGGGCGACGUACGUGAAGAAGAAGUUCAAUCCCAAGAAUCCUAAGAGUCUGCUUCUGCGAACGCACUCACAGACGUCCGGCUGGUCGCUGACGGAGCAGGACAUGGAAAACAACAUCAUUCGUACCACGAUUGAGGCCAUGGCAGCUGUGAUGGGCGGUGUGCAAAGUCUGCACACGAAUGCCUUCGAUGAGGCAGUGGCACUCCCGUCAAUACAGAGUUCUCGUAUCGCGCGUAACACACAGAUCAUCAUUCAGGAAGAAACACACAUUUGCAGCGUUGUCGACCCAUGGGGUGGCUCGUAUAUGAUGGAGGCUCUGACGCAGGAGAUGAUCAAGAAGGCAUCCGCAAUCAUUGACGACGUGGAAGCGAAGGGCGGUAUGACCAAAUGCAUCGAGGAAGGGUUCCCCAAGCUGAUGAUAGAGGAGAGCGCCGCGCGGCGGCAGGCGGCCAUUGAUUCUGGCGCGGAGACCAUUGUUGGCGUUAACAAGUACGUUAACCCAGUCGAUAAGAUACCUGAGACGCUUCGCAUCGAUGACAAAAAGGUACGUGCAGGUCAGAUUGCUGCCUUGGAGAAGCUGAAGGCUACCCGCGACACGGCCAAGGUACAGGAAAUGCUCAAGAAAGUGACGGAGGCUUGUAGGGACGAGAAGAUCAAUAUUCUCGAGGCUGCUAUUGAGGCUGCGCGGGCACGUGCAACGCUCGGCGAGAUUACUUCUGCUAUGGAGGAGGUCUACGGCCGUUACGUUGCAAGGAGCCAGGUAGUGCAAGGCGUAUACUACAACUCCUACCUGAGAGGGGGCAACAAGGAGGAUCAGAAUCACGUCGCGGCUGUCAAAGCUCGCAUCGACGCCUUCGCUGCGAAGGAAGGUCGUCGCCCGCGUAUUAUGGUGGCCAAAAUAGGCCAGGACGGACAUGACCGUGGGGCAAAAGUGGUAGCCACUGGUCUUGCUGACAUGGGCUAUGAUGUAGAUAUCGGCCCGCUCUUCCAGACCCCCGAGGAGGUUGCCCGCCAUGCUGUCGAAAACGACGUGCACAUCUGCGGCGCGAGCUCACUGGCUGCAGGUCAUCGAACGCUGAUUCCGCAGCUCAUCCAGGAGCUGAAGAAGCUUGGUGCCGACGAUAUCAUUGUCACUGCCGGUGGCGUUAUACCACCCGAUGACUACCAGAGUCUCUAUGACGCCGGCGUAAAACUCAUCUUUGGUCCCGGCACGCCCAUACCGAAGUGUGCUGAACAGAUGAUCGAGGUCCUUGAGGCUCGUCAGAAAUGAAUGCACACAUUAUUUAACGCAACAAGCUUCGAUUCGCAGUCUCACCACAAAACGUUUUUUUUUUGGUUUCACUCUGACUUUCCCCUCUUUCUGCUUGCUCUGCGAAGUCUACACGCCAUGCUUCAUGUACGGUAUCGCUUCCCUCUUCUUCCUCUUUUCUUUUGUUUGAGUUCAUUUUUUUCCCCUCUCACUCCGGGGGUUGUGCGACUGCUUUGCUCUUUUCUUGCUCAAGGCGCCUCUUCUCUCGUUUGUGAACAGGUUUGACGCCUCCCAGCUCGCGCUUUAUUUCAGAAGUUUGGUAUGUGACGUCACCAACGUAGGCUUCACUGGAGCUUUCUGCAGUCUCGCCCGCGUACAACGCUCCAAAAGCAUACGCGAGAAAAACUCAGUCAAGACCAAACAAAUGCACCCGUCUGGACGCUUACAGAAGACACGGAGCACGAGACCUCUCUCCACACCCAAUUGCACUAAAGGCAGCGAAAGAAAAGAAGCUAGUUUUUUCUGUAUCGUCGUACCGUGCCCAACAUUUCUUUUGCGUGCCACGUAACGGGCGCCGCUCGCUCUACUCCUUCUUUACGCCCUUGCCCACGAUGACUAGGCACACGACCGGUAACACGGCAGUCCACCAACGCAGCAUUUGCUUUACCACUUUGCGCUCCCUCGUAAAAGGAAGGAAACAACCGGGAAAAGAAAACGACUUUAGCCCAUCAGUUUUGAGCACAUGGCUCAGAUCUGCACGUGCGCGUGUAAGCAAGCGAUUUUUUCCUUUGAUUUCUUACUUUUUGCUUUCGUACAGAUGGCAGUAAUCCUUCAUGACGGGCAACACCUUGCUGCGGUAUCGGCACCCGGUAUCCCACCCUGUGGGGAGGCCAAGUAGGCCCCUCUCCCCCCUCCUAUCCCCUGCCAGCGCCGGAGCCCCACUUCUCGUGGUGACAAGGGUCGAGAGUGCCUACGGCGUGGCAGGGGGGGGGGUCUGUGCGAUGCAUGGCCACACUGAUGUGUCGGCGGUGGGGCCCUGGGUGGCGUUGCGUCGGGGUGGCCCGCGACAGCGAACACGCUUGUGCCGUCCAUGUGGUAGGCAGGGUGUCGGCGUGGCUGGAACGCAUUGCACCCGGCCCCGACUGCCGUUGCUGGUGCGGGGGGAGGGGGCCUGUGUGCCACCCCUACGGGGAUGCACAGCAGGUGGGCGCCGGCGUGACGGGUGCGGGUGUGCGGCGACCUGCAGAGCGCGGCGGUGGUGUGGAGUAUGAGGCAGGGGCCGUGCUCGGAUGGCUGAGCCGGCGCGUUGCUGUAGGGCGUGUGUGUGCAGGGCUGCUUGGCACCACGCGAUGUGCCCGUGACAGGGGCGGGGCGGAGUUCAGCUCCGAUGCACCGUGACAGAGAAGGAGCGUGUUGGAGAGAGAAAAACGAAACGUUCACAGUGACAGAGCCGUUGUCCCUUCAAAACAGCGACGAUCGAAGAGGGGGAGAAGAGAACGGCAGUCGAAGCUGAGUGGGCUUUGCGCUGCACU
rnacentral:misc_RNA from 1 species